rnacentral:rRNA from 1 species
AGUGAACGCUGGCGGUAGGCCUAACACAUGCAAGUCGAACGGCAGCACAGGAGAGCUUGCUCUCUGGGUGGCGAGUGGCGGACGGGUGAGGAAUACAUCGGAAUCUGCCCAGUCGUGGGGGAUAACUAGCCGAAAGGUUAGCUAAUACCGCAUACGACCGAGAGGUCAAAGCGGGGGACCGCAAGGCCUCGCGCGAUUGGAUGAGCCGACGUCGGAUUAGCUAGUUGGCGGGGUAAAGGCCCACCAAGGGGACGAUCCGUAGCUGGUCUGAGAGGAUGAUCAGCCACACUGGAACUGAGACACGGUCCAGAGUCAUACGGGAGGCAGCAGUGGGGAAUAUUGGACAAUGGGCGCAAGCCUGAUCCAGCAAUGCCGCGUGUGUGAAGAAGGCCUUCGGGUUGUAAAGCACUUUUAUCAGGAACGAAAAGCGUUGGAUUAAUACUCUGACGUGCUGACGGUACCUGAGGAAUAAGCACCGGCUAACUUCGUGCCAGCAGCCGCAGUAACAC